rnacentral:lncRNA from 1 species
UGAUUUAUAAAAUAUUCUAUUACUCUUGCCUUAGAGGGAAGACUUAGCCGACAAGUUACGCCCCAUGGACAAGAGUUGACACUAUCAUAUUGUAUCUUGAUUUAUAUGAUGCUUUAUUAGUCUUGCCUCUAAAACAAAACUUAGCCCAAGAACCUCCCAAAAGAACAAGUGAGCCCAAUGGACAAGUGUUGACACUAUCACAUUGUUCCUUAAUUUAUGAGAUGUUCAAUAAUUCUUACCUUAGAAGAAAGACUUAACUCAAGGAUUUUCAAACAAUAAGUUAUACUCCACAGCAAGGCUGGACACUACCACAUUGUGUCUUGAUUUAUGAGUUGUUCUAUAAUUUUUUCAAUAGAGGCAAGACUUAUUCCAAAGGGCUUUCUAACAAUAAGUCAUGACCUUAAAUCUACUUUGAUGUCAAAAAAAUAAGAUCCCUUUGUGGAUUAUCCAACUAUUUAUUUAUUAGUAAAAUAUAAUACAAAUUGAGAAAAAAGAUAACAAACAAAAUAGAGAAAUUAAAAAAAGAG